rnacentral:rRNA from 1 species
UACAGAGGUCCCAAGCGUUGUUCGGAUUCAUUGGGCGUAAAGGGUGCGUAGGCGGCGCGGUAAGUCGGGUGUGAAAGCCCACUGCUUAACGGUGGGUCUGCUUCCGGUACGGGCGGGCUGGAGUAUGGCAGGGGAGACUGGAAUUCCUGGUGUAGCGGUGGAAUGCGCAGAUAUCAGGAGGAACACCGGUGGCGAAGGCGGGUCUCUGGGCCAUUACUGACGCUGAGGAGCGAAAGCGUGGGGAGCGAACAGG